GGAAGAUAAUGACGGUACCAUAUGAAUAAGCACCGGCUAACUCCGUGCCAGCAGCCGCGGUAAUACGGAGGGUGCAAGCGUUACUCGGAAUCACUGGGCGUAAAGGGUGCGUAGGCGGUUUGAUAAGUCUGAUGUGAAAUCCUAUGGCUCAACCAUAGAACUGCAUUGGAAACUGUCAGACUAGAAUACUGAAGGGGCAGAUGGAAUUAGUGGUGUAGGGGUAAAAUCCGUAGAUAUCACUAGGAAUACCGAAAGCGAAAGCGAUCUGCUGGGAAGUUAUUGACGCUGAGGCACGAAAGCGUGGGGAGCAAACGGGAUUAGAUACCCCGGUAGUCCACGCCCUAAACGAUGAAUGCUAGUCGUCGGAAAGCUCGUCUUUUCGGUGAUGCAGUUAACACAUUAAGCAUUCCGCCUGGGGAGUACGGUCGCAAGAUUAAAACUCAAAGGAAUAGACGGGGACCCGCACAAGUGGUGGAGCAUGUGGUUUAAUUCGAAGAUACGCGAAGAACCUUACCAAGCCUUGACAUUGAUUGAAUUCACCAGAGAUGGAGAAGUGCCUUUCGAGGAACAUGAAAACAGGUGCUGCACGGCUGUCGUCAGCUCGUGUCGUGAGAUGUUGGGUUAAGUCCCGCAACGAGCGCAACCCUCGUCGUUAGUUGCUAACAGUUCGGCUGAGCACUCUAGCGAGACUGCCUUCGCAAGGAGGAGGAAGGUGAGGACGACGUCAAGUCAUCAUGGCCCUUAUGGCUUGGGCUACACACGUGCUACAAUGGGGCGUACAGAGAGUUGCGAUACCGCGAGGUGGAGCUAAUCUCAUAAAGCGUCCCUCAGUUCGGAUUGGACUCUGCAACUCGAGUCCAUGAAGCUGGAAUCACUAGUAAUCGUAGAUCAGCAAUGCUACGGUGAAUACGUUCCCGGGUCUUGCACACACCGCCCGUC
rnacentral:rRNA from 1 species